GCAUUCGUGGCCGAGUGGCUAAGGCGAUGGACUAGAAAUCCAUUGGGGUCUCCCCGCACAGGUUCGAAUCCUGUCGACUGCG
rnacentral:tRNA from 2 species